rnacentral:rRNA from 1 species
CCUACGGGAGGCUGCAGUGGGGAAUAUUGGGCAAUGGGCGCAAGCCUGACCCAGCAACGCCGCGUGAAGGAAGAAGGCUUUCGGGUUGUAAACUUCUUUUCUGAGGGACGAAGAAAGUGACGGUACCUCAGGAAUAAGCCACGGCUAACUACGUGACAGCAGCCGCGGUAAUACGUAGGUGGCAAGCGUUAUCCGGAUUUAUUGGGUGUAAAGGGCGUGUAGGCGGGGAAGCAAGUCAGCUGUGAAAACUCAGGGCUCAACCCUGAGCCUGCAUUUGAAACUGUUUUUCUUGAGUGCUGGAGAGGCGAUCGGAAUUCCGGGUGUAGCGGUGAAAUGCGUAGAGAUACGGAGGAACACCAGUGGCGAAGGCGGAUUGCUGGACAGUAACUGACGCUGAGGCGCGAAAGCGUGGGGAGCAAACAGGAUUAGAUACCCCUGUAGUC